GACGAACGCUGGCGGCGCGCUUAACACAUGCAAGUCGAGCGAUAACCAUGGCUUCGGCCAUGGGGAGAGCGGCGAACGGGUGAGUAACACGUGAGCGAUCUGCCCUCGACACCGGGAUAGCCCGGGGAAACCCGGAUUAAUACCGGAUGGCCUCUCGAGCCCACGGGCUCGUUAGAAAAGAUGGCUUCGGCUUUCGGUCGAGGAGUAGCUUGCGGCGGAUUAGCUUGUUGGGGGGGGAACGGCUCACCAAGGCGACGAUCCGUAGCUGGUCUGAGAGGACGAUCAGCCACACUGGGACUGAGACACGGCCCAGACUCCUACGGGAGGCAGCAGUGGGGAAUCUUGCGCAAUGGGCGAAAGCCUGACGCAGCGACGCCGCGUGAGGGAAGAAGGCCUUCGGGUUGUAAACCUCUUUCAGGAGGGACGAAGCCACUCGGGUUAAUACCCCAGAGGGUGACGGUACCUCCAGAAGAAGCCCCGGCUAACUACGUGCCAGCCGCCGCGGUAAAAC
rnacentral:rRNA from 1 species